AAAGACCCUAUGAAGCUUUACUGUAACUUGGAAUUGAAAUUGGACUUUAUUUGCGCAGUAUAGGUGGGAGGCGUUGAGAAUAUUCUUGCGGGGAUAUAGGAGCCAUCAGUGAGAUACCACUCUUGUAAUGUUAGAUUUCUAACUUUGAAUCAUUAUCUGGUCAAAGAACAGUUUCAGGCGGGCAGUUUGACUGGGGCGGUCGCCUCCUAAAUGGUAACGGAGGCGCACAAAGGUUUCCUCUGAACGGGUAGAAAUCGUAUCUAGAGUGUAAAGGCAUAAGGAAGCUUGACUGUGAGACCUACAAGUCGAGCAGGGACGAAAGUCGGUCUUAGUGAUCUGACGGUGCUGAGUGGAAAGGCCGUCACUCAACGGAUAAAAGUUACUCUAGGGAUAACAGGCUGA
rnacentral:rRNA from 1 species